GCCAGGUGUCGUGUCAGUCCCAGCUAUGUGUGAAGCUGAGGCAGGAAGAUCACUUGAGCCCAGGAGUUCUGGACUGUAGUGCGAUAUGCCAGUUGGGUGUCUGCACUAAGUUUGGCAUCAAUGGGGUGACCUCCAGGGAGUAAGGGACCACCAGAUUGCUUAAGGAGGGGUGAUCUGGCCCAGGUUGGAAAUGGAGCAGGUCGAAACUUCAGUGUCGAUCAGCAGUGGGCCUGUGCCUGUGAAUUGCCACCGCACUCCAGCCUGGGCAGCAUAGUGAGACCUCGUCUCU
rnacentral:SRP_RNA from 1 species